CUGCUUUUAUACGGGAAGAAACGCACCUACGUGUAGGUGUCUGACGGUACCGUAAGAAUAAGGACCGGCUAACUCCGUGCCAGCAGCCGCGGUAAUACGGAGGGUCCGAGCGUUAUCCGGAAUCAUUGGGUUUAAAGGGUCCGUAGGCGGGCCUGUAAGUCAGGGGUGAAAGUUUGUGGCUCAACCAUAAAAUUGCCUUUGAUACUGCAGGUCUUGAGUCAUGGUGGGGUCGCCGGAACAUGUGGUGUAGCGGUGAAAUGCAUAGAUAUCACAUAGAACACCGAUCGCGAAGGCAGGUGACCAACCAUGUACUGACGCUGAUGGACGAAAGCGUGGGUAGCGAACGGGAUUAGAUACCCCGGUAGUCCACGCCGUAAACGAUGGAUACUAGCUGUGGGGACUUCGGUCUCCGUGGCCAAGCGAAAGUGAUAAGUAUCCCACCUGGGGAGUACGUUCGCAAGAAUGAAACUC
rnacentral:rRNA from 1 species